UACGUAGGGUGCGAGCGUUGUCCGGAAUUACUGGGCGUAAAGAGCUCGUAGGUGGUUUGUCGCGUUGUUCGUGAAAACCGGGGGCUUAACCCUCGGCGUGCGGGCGAUACGGGCAGACUUGAGUACUGCAGGGGAGACUGGAAUUCCUGGUGUAGCGGUGGAAUGCGCAGAUAUCAGGAGGAACACCGGUGGCGAAGGCGGGUCUCUGGGCAGUAACUGACGCUGAGUAGCGAAAGCGUGGGGAGCGAACAGG
rnacentral:rRNA from 1 species